GUGAAAUUGAACUCGCUGUGAAGAUGCAGUGUACCCGCGGCAAGACGGAAAGACCCCGUGAACCUUUACUAUAGCUUGACACUGAACAUUGAGCCUUGAUGUGUAGGAUAGGUGGGAGGCUUUGAAGUGUGGACGCCAGUCUGCAUGGAGCCGACCUUGAAAUACCACCCUUUAAUGUUUGAUGUUCUAACGUGGACCCGUGAUCCGGGUUGCGGACAGUGUCUGGUGGGUAGUUUGACUGGGGCGGUCUCCUCCUAAAGAGUAACGGAGGG
rnacentral:rRNA from 1 species